rnacentral:rRNA from 1 species
UAGGGAAUCUUCCACAAUGGACGAAAGUCUGAUGGAGCAACGCCGCGUGAGUGAAGAAGGGUUUCGGCUCGUAAAACUCUGUUGUUAAAGAAGAACAUAUCUGAGAGUAACUGUUCAGGUAUUGACGGUAUUUAACCAGAAAGCCACGGCUAACUACGUGCCAGCAGCCGCGGUAAUACGUAGGUGGCAAGCGUUGUCCGGAUUUAUUGGGCGUAAAGCGAGCGCAGGCGGUUUUUUAAGUCUGAUGUGAAAGCCUUCGGCUCAACCGAAGAAGUGCAUCGGAAACUGGGAAACUUGAGUGCAGAAGAGGACAGUGGAACUCCAUGUGUAGCGGUGAAAUGCGUAGAUAUAUGGAAGAACACCAGUGGCGAAGGCGGCUGUAUGGUCUGUAACUGACGCUGAGGCUCGAAAGUAUGGGUAGCAAACAGG